rnacentral:rRNA from 1 species
AUGCCAACUGAUGUGGGGCAGUCAAAGAUGGGAACUUUCAGAUAUCUCCGAGACAGGGUUUGGGAGAAGGUGAAAGGCUGGAUGGAGAAACUCCUAUCGACAACAGACAAGGAGGUACUUAUAAAGGCUGUGGCCCAAGCUCUGCCGGUUUACUCUAUGGCCUGCUUUAGACUUCCUCGUGGCCUGUGUGACAACAUCACAACUAUUAUACGUCAAUUUUGGUGGGGUAGUAAAGCAGGCAGGAGAAAACCUAGCUGGGUGUCGUGGGAUGUCAUGACAAGGCCAAAACACCUGGGCGGUCUGGGUUUUCGUGAUAUGGAAAUUUUCAAUCUUGCGUUGCUUGCUAGGCAAGCCUGGAGAGUACUUACAGAACUGACUCCCUAA